rnacentral:rRNA from 1 species
GGGGGGGGGGGGGGGCGGGGGGGGGGGGGGGGGGGCGAAGGGAGGGGGCGGGUUCGGGGGGGGCGCGGGUGGGGAGCGGGGGGGGGACACGGGAGUAACGGGGGCGUGACGUGGGGGGAACUUGAGGAAACUGGGCGUAAUACCGGAGAGGAGCUCCUGCUGCAUGGUGGGGGUUGGAAAGUUUCGUCGGUUGGGGGUUGACUUGCGGCUUAUGAGCUUGUUUGUGGGGUAGUGGCUUACCAAGGCUUUGACGGGUAGCCGGACUGGGAUGCUGACCGGCCACAUUGGGACUGAGAUACGGCCCAGACUCCUACGGGCGGCAGCAGUGGGGAAUAUUGCACAAUGGGUGGAAGCCUGAGUCAGCAACGCCGUGUGCGGGAUGACGGCCUUCGGGUUGUAACCCGAUUGCGCUCAUGACGAAGCUUUGUGUGACGGUAGUGGGUAAAGAAGCACCGGCUAACUACGUG